AAGGGCACACCAAGGAGAAGGAACAGCAUAAAGGCUUAGAGGUCACCUGUAGCUUCCAUAUGAAGAACACCAGGAAAGUGAGAUCACAGGUGAUUCCUCAUCUUCGGGGCCCAAAACAUGUUCAAGAGCUUAUGUAAGCCCAGCAAGGUCAAAUUUCCUCAGACUAUCCAGCUAGCCCCAGGUUAGCCUGGUGACAGGAUGUAGGAGACAUGGAGGAGUGUCAGAAAGUGUCACCUGAGACCAUCAAAGAUUGGACAUCCCCAACCAACAUGCUAACUACGACAGACGCAUGUAUAAGCCUAGGGAGGAUUAGCCAGCUCCACCCAGA